GAAGACGGCCAUAGUAACUAGGAAACGCCCGAUACAUUCCGAACUCGGAAGCUAAGCUAGCUACGUCGUUUGCGUUAGUCUCCCACAAGAGGCGAAACUUCGAUGCUGUCUUCG
rnacentral:rRNA from 1 species